rnacentral:rRNA from 1 species
UACUCGAGUGGCGAACGGGUGAGUAACACGUGGGUGAUCUGCCCUGCACUUCGGGAUAAGCCUUGGAAACUGGGUCUAAUACCGGAUAGGAGCCAUUUUUAGUGUGAUGGUUGGAAAGUUUUUUCGGUGUAGGAUGAGCUCGCGGCCUAUCAGCUUGUUGGUGGGGUAAUGGCCUACCAAGGCGGCGACGGGUAGCCGGCCUGAGAGGGUGGACGGCCACAUUGGGACUGAGAUACGGCCCAG